CCGGGGGCGGGCGUGAGUGGAGGAGCUCGGCCGGCGCUCGGACCUUUGAGGUGGCCGCGGCCGGUAGCGUCUAGAGCUGGGGCCCGUCCCUGCCCUGGGUGUGUGGAAGAGGGGCCUUGGGGGGAGCCCGUCCCUGCCCUGAAGCUGGGGGCGGGGGCAGGUGGCGGUUGCGGCCCCUGCCCCAUGCGGGGUCCCUGGGGGAGAGUGACACUGACAGCAGCAGGAGCUGCUCUGCGAUGAAGGCUCUGAGUGUGGCGCUGCUGCUGGCCCUCCUGGUCUCAGUGCACAAAACAGAAAAAAGUUUUGAAAACCAGAAGGAAAAAAAUGUUUCAAAACAGGAAGCACUGAAUGAAAGUCAACUAUUAACAAUGCAAGAUACAUUUUCUUCACAAGCAGAAGAUCUGGCUAGGAGAAAGAAGAAUGAGGAGCGAGGACAUCAGCUUUAUAAAAUGAGCAACAAAAUCCUGAAACAUUCCAAAAGCAAAAAAGAGAAAGAGGAAGCUUACCAACUCCUUACCAAAGCAGCAGAUAUGGGACAUUUGAAAGCUAUGGAGAAAUUGGCUGCUGCUUUGCUGUUUGGUUAUCAUGGUCCUCAAAAUAUAACUGCAGCUGUGACAUUAUAUGAGACUUUGGCUGAAAAAGGAUCUCAUAAAGGCCAAACUCCACUGCACAGAAAUGAGUUGUUAAUCAGUAAGGAGCAGUACACUUCAGCUUGGCCCAGCUGUGGCACUUCUAACAAGACACAGGCUCUAGGAUUUAUGUUUUCAUAUGGCAUAGGAAUGGAGUAUAAUCAAGCCAAGGCACUUGUUUAUUACACAUUUGGAAGUCUUGGAGGAAAUUUGAUAUCCCAGAUGAUUUUGGGAUACCGUUACUGGGUCGGAAUCAAUGUUCCAAGAAAUUGUGAAGCAGCACUAACUAAUUACAGGAAAGUGGCAUAUUUCAUUGCUGAUAAAUUAGAAAAAAAUGAAGAAAUGCCAGUAGAAAAAGUGAGACUGAUGGAAAAAUCAGAAAAUCUGAGUUCGAACAAUGACUUCUUAGAUUGGGAUGUACACCAAUACUAUAAGUUUUUGGCUGAAAGAGGAGACACACAGAUACAGGUAUUCCUUGGACAAUUACAUCUUGCAGGAAGGAAGGGACUAGAGAAAGAUCAUUCUAAAGCUUUCUACUAUUUCCUAAAGGCAGCAAAAGCAGGGAAUACACAUGGUAUGGCAUUCCUGGGAAAGAUGUUUUUAGAAGGAAGUGUUGCAGUGACACAGAGUAAUGCUUCUGCCUUUAAGUACUUCACAAUGGCAGCUGAAAAGGGUAAUGCAGUUGGACUAUGGGGUCUAGGCCUUCUUUAUUAUCAAGGAAAAGGUGUUCCCGUGAACUAUACUGAAGCUUUUAAAUACUUUCAUAUAGCAGCUGAGAAAGGUUUGGCAGAUGCACAGUUCCAGCUAGGAGUCAUGUAUCACUCUGGCUCUGGAGUAAGGAAAGACUAUAAACUUGCCUUCAAAUAUUUUUACUUGGCCUCUCAAAAUGGACAACCCAUUGCUGUUUAUUAUUUGGCACAGAUGUAUGCUGCAGGGACUGGAGUGUUUAGAUCAUGUCAAAAUGCAGUUGAGCUUUACCGAAGUGUUUGUGAACUAGGAAGUUGGUCUGAAAAAUUCCUGACUGCAUACUUCGCUUACCAGGAUGGUAAUAUCGAUUCAUCUCUUAUUCAAUAUGCAUUAUUAGCAGAAAUGGGGUAUGAAGUAGCUCAAAGUAAUUCAGCUUACAUUUUGGAAUCUGAACAGGUUAAAAUGAUCAGCAAUGAUCAGAUGUAUCCAUUAGCACUUCUCCUGUGGAACAGAGCUGCAGCUCAAGGCAAUGCAUUUGCUAGAGUAAAAACUGGAGAUUACCACUUUUACGGUUAUGGAACCAAGAGGGAUUAUGUCACAGCAGCAAUUCAUUACAGCCUUGCAGUUGAUCACCACAUCGCUCAAGCCAUGUUUAAUCUGGCAUAUAUGUAUGAACAUGGUUUAGGUAUUCCAAAGGAUAUACAUUUGGCUAAAAGGUGGUAUGACCUCGCAGCACAAACAAGCCCAGAUGCUUCUAUUCCAGUGUUCUUGGCACGUAUGAAGCUAGAAGUUAAGCUUCUAUUCAGCGAGAUGCAACUUUUCAAGCAGUUUACUUCGAGUUAGAAAAUGUCAAAACUGGACACCAUGCUGCAACCACAUUGGGAUCUGUUUGCAUUGCAGACAACUGUUCCAGCGGGGAAGAAGUCACAUGUCACUUCCUGGAAGACAGUUUGCAUUAUUGCCUACCUCACAAGCUACAAACACACUUUUAUCUGGAGGCAUCCUUCAGUCCAGAAGACUCCAUUUCAAAGGUUCAUUGGACUAUAAAAUAGAGGGGCCAAGAAACCCCAAGUUAUCUUUCACCUAAGAAGAUGAAGGUACCAGCCUUUUGACUUUGGAGGAGAGACCCUGAGUCAGGAAUUUGGUCAGCCAUCUCGAUGGAAACGUGAAGUUGGAGCAAAUGCUGCUGAGAAACUCCUUUAUGGGUGCUAGCAACCUAAAUCCUAACUCAGAGAAGCAAGUGGGAAAGUUUUGUCAUUGCCUUCCAUGAAAGCAGGAUCUGGUCCAUUAACAUAAUAUCAUUGCUCCCAUACCACGUGAAAACCCAAGAUACGAGGUUUUUUUACCUGAAGAUUUUAUAAAGUAGACCCAGCUCUUAAGUUUGUAAGGUGAAUGUUAGAGACAUGAAUUGCUACAUCAUGUACUGUGAAUAGUAUGAGGAAGUUAAAUUAAGUAAGUAUUGUUUAUUAAGUUUUCAAAUAUACAAGCAAACAGCAGGACCAAUCUCCUGCCUACCAACUAGCAAGGAUCCUGUGCAGUACCUACUAAUUCUUCCCUACACCUGUAACUCCCAGCCUUCUCCCAAGUUAAGUGCUCUAGCUGUAUUCUCUCUUUCAUGCCUUGGGGAGGGAAACAAAUCUGCACUCUGUCCAGAAAUGCACAUUUUUCCUAUUACCAGUGGCACAUUCUUCAGCUCUGCAAAGGAAACAGAGCAAGUUUCUAACAUUUCAGUUCUCUCCUACCCAAGUGCUGAUUGAGUAGUAGAAGAACCAGGCACAGCAGCAGCAGCUCUCCUAGUUAACAUUUCCACACAACCCCUCUUCAUUCUCUCUAGUCCCUUCGCACCUAACCAGUCAUAACCAGGAGCCACAGUGCUUGAGAAGAAACUCAAAGCAAAACUUUAGAAAAAAAAAUAUACAGUACAUGCAACUAACUAAAAAUCGACAUUUGGGAGAACAUGAGUGUUCCUUUCAGUCUGAGUGCAUUGUUAAUUAUAAUAUAAAUAGAAACGCAAUACUGUAGAAGAUAGGAUGGUUUUUCAAUUCUAUUUGAAGGUUUCUUUAUAUGCAGGGUUGACAAAACAGUUAUGACUUUAUUGCUUGGAGUAUGCUGUACCAUUCUGUUGAACUCCACCUACUGGAUUAUUUUAUUACAACAGGCACAAUGAAAGCGGGUAUGUCCACACUAAAAACUUAAAUCAACCUAUAUUAGGAGUAAUUACUGCAGUGGUGCAUGUCCACACUAUCCUCCUGGGGGUGGUGGUGCAAGUCCUCACUAAGAGUACUUCCACUGACCUAAAAGGAACAGUAUGGGGGAGCUGACAGCCCAAUCUCUCAGCUCUGUUGACAGCUCUCUGCCAGGAGCCCAGCUGCUCACAGGCUCCCAGAGCUUCUCGCCUUCCUGUUCCCUGCCAGGGGAGUGGGCAGGGAGACGGCACCUGGGGCUUCUUGCCCCUGGGGAGUGGGGUCCAGCUGUCCCAGCUUCUUAGCCCUCCCCCUCCGCCCCCCCACUCCACUGGAGCCGUGAAAUUAACGAGAGUGCUAACAGCGGCUGUAAGUAACACACUGUUUACACAGACACUGCAUCACCCUAACUACACCAACAUAACUCCUAUGCCUCUAGUGGGGGUGGUUAUUAUGGCAGUGUAGAUGGGGAUUUACAUUGGCAGGACAAGGCUGUAGUGUAGACACUGACCUAUUUAGGCCCAUGUAAGCUGCCUUACGUUGACCUGUGUAGUGUAGACCAGGACUGAGUUAAGACAGUGCUGACAGCACAAUGUCCAACUGUUACAAUGCACUUUAGGGCUAAGAAUCUAGAUAUAAAAAGCCUGAAAUUAGG